CCUUUUUAUAAUAUACUGAAAGAGGAUAGUGAAUGCUUGCAUGUAGUUUAUACUUUCUCCUCCUACUAUUUGCCCUUCUUAGUUUUGAAGAAAUGAGACGUUUGCGUUGAGCAUUGCGAAUAUCAAUUUUAUGUCUCUGUUUCAGUUGUUUCGCAACCAAUGAACCUGGUGUUAUAGCAUCACCCAGCUGAACAGAGUUUUAUGACAGAAUUGGAAUAUUUGUUGUUUACCAUUAGCACAGCAGCAUGAGCCCGACCGGGGAAGUUUCUGUGAAAAGUUACAUUUUUGGGAUUGCACCUACUCAGCGAACAGUUGAAUCCCUCACUUUUUUUUAGUUGAGGUUAGAAACCGAACUAACUCCAGGCUAUUUGGACCAAGUAAGAUUUUUAUACACCUUCUAAGCUCUUCUUGAUCAUAAAAUGUCAUCUUUUAUGUGCUGCCAUUUGCUAUAUAACUUCUGAUCCAACAUUUUGAAGGUUCACCCCCACACACAUAGGAGUUUACUUUACAAGAACUUCCACAGUUACCCUUAUAACACAUAAUUAUGGCAUCAAUGACAUUUGGCAUGUGAGCCUUCAUGAGUUGUAGGUUCCCCCUAUGAAUUGAAAAACCAGUAUUUAACUCAGCUACACAUCUAGCUUUUAUAUCAAGAGCAAAGCGACUCUUCUCAUUUUGCUUACGAGAUCCUGAGAACAUAAUUUCACUAAACAUGCAUUUCAUAAUGGCCCUUUUUAAACUUUGAGACAAAUGCCUUACAUCUCUGAGACUUUGAACAUUAUUUCCAUGUACACUUUUUAUCCCGGUAAAUGAUUUACUAUCCCCAUCCGAAGUGAAAUGAGAUAUUUGAAGGUGGUCACUGACAUCAGCUGCACAUCUGCGACUAUACUCUCCCUCAUUACCUAUUGGGAAAUCUUCCGCAAUAUUAGCUGUACAUAUACCAGCAUGGUUUGGACAUGUUACAUUUUUCCCUUUUACCUCUCAAUUUUGAGGCAAUUAAACACAAUUUAUUACCAGUAUAAAGAGAGAUCAUUUUUUUUAUUUUUUGUCAUAUUUUCACACAUAACUUGGGUAACUUGUGUACCCCCCUGAAAAGGUGUGCUGCCAUUACUAAAAAUUGGGUUAUUAUACCUAGCAUCAGAUUCAACUCGAACCAACUUUUCAUUGGAUAGACCAAGUGUUUUGUUGUCAUUUGCCAAAUUUUUCCUUAUAUUUUCCAUGUCAUCUUUAUUUACUUUUUCCACAACUUUUGAAACUUUAUUUGCAGAUUUCUGCAAAGCCUAAUGAAGAAGGGAAGAUAAUAUUGGCUGCAUUUAGGAUUUCACUAAAGUUUUUGUUUGAUAUUGGUGUAUGUAUUAGACCUACUUGUGCACCAAUGUUAACCAUGGCAGCCCUUCUGCCUCUUUUUAUAGAUUCAACUUCUUCAUAUAAUUUAUGAAAUGCACUUUUGAAUCCACAUAUAUUACAUUGAAACCUUUCUUGCCAUGCUAAUCCCCAUUUUACUUGAGCCUCUGUGUCAAAUUUUAAAUCACCCUUACAGUCUUGUUUAUACAACAUGAGAUUUUUCAUUUCAGUGUUAAUCAUGUACUGAAGAGCAUUCUGUUGAAAAAUCUUAUAUGUGAAUUGGUCUGCAGAUGACACAUUAGCUUUAAGGUAUGUAUCAACUAAUGUUAUUUUUUUGGGGUUUUGGCCGCAAAAGUUUACAAUUUGCAAUUGUGCCGUGCCGUCUGCAUUUUGCACUGACAAAACACCAUCUAAACAUUUAUUUACUCUGGAUUUAUGCACAUCAGAAUCCAGUCUCACAUACUUAAAAAUUUCACAAUUCUUACCAAAUUUAAUUUUUUUACCAGCAUUCCAAGGGACAUAACCCUUUUUAAAUCCAUUUUGAGGUAUUUUUUUAUUACUCCUCUCUUCCCAUUUUCUAAUAAAAAAUACAAUAAAGUGGACUUUUUUGUGUAAAUCUAUAAGAAAUAUACUGUAAUAAUUAAAUAAUAUGACUUUGAUAUCACAAACAUUAAAUGAUUAACUGAAAGGGAACCGUUAUUUGUCACACUCAGGAACAGACCAAAAACUCAAGUUAUACAUAAGGACUUAUAGAAACUUCCGUGGAGACUGUUAACAUUUAUAGAGACAGUUCUUUCAGCUAAAACACUUUUCUUAUUGAUUUAACAUAACAUUUCUUACAUUUAUUUGGGAAAAUAAUCACAUUUGUUUUAUUUUUUAGCCAAAAGAUGUCAAGUUUUGAUGAAAAAAGAAGGAAAAAUGGACCAAAACAGACCAAAACAGACCUUCAAAUGAACUCAAAAAGGUGCAAUAAAAUUGUUUAUCAUCUUAAAGUUGUCUUUUGUAUCCUAUUUAAUUGUUUCAAUGCAUAGAUGAUGAGUAUAUGAUCAGAUAUUAGUCAAAACUGUAUUUUAUGAUGAUACACUGACAUUAGGAUUUUUCGUAGAAAUUAAACUGAAAUCGCCAUAGAAUAUGACCUUACAAUAAAGUGAUUUUCUCUGAAACUAUAGCUCUGACUGAGACAAAACUUGGCAGUUAUGCUUGAAAUAACUUGCAAUUGGAGGGAAAAAAUGACAUUCAGUUUAUUUGACAUUUAGGUGUUAUUUAGGUGUAAUACCACCAAAUCAUGGUACGUCACAUCCGGUUGUAUACAAAAGUA
rnacentral:lncRNA from 1 species